GACGAACGCUGGCGGCGUGCCUAAUACAUGCAAGUCGAACGAGAGGAAGGAAAGCUUGCUUUUCUGAAUCUAGUGGCGAACGGGUGAGUAACACGUAGGUAACCUGCCCAUGUGCCCGGGAUAACUUCUGGAAACGGAUGCUAAAACCGGAUAGGUAGCAGACAAGCAUUUGACUGCUAUUAAAGUGGCUAAGGCCAUGAACAUGGAUGGACCUGCGGUGCAUUAGCUAGUUGGUGAGGUAACGGCCCACCAAGGCGACGAUGCAUAGCCGGGCUGAGAGGGAGGACGGCCACAUUGGGACUGGGACACGGCCCAAACUCCUACGGGAGGCAGCAGUAGGGAAUUUUCGUCAAUGGGGGGAACCCUGAACGAGCAAUGCCGCGUGAGUGAGGAAGGUCUUCGGAUCGUAAAGCUCUGUUGUAAGAGAAAAACGACAUUCAUAGGGAAUGAUGAGUGAGUGAUGGUAUCUUACCAGAAAGUCACGGCUAACUACGUGCCAGCCGCCGCCGUAA
rnacentral:rRNA from 1 species